CAGUAGCCGCGGUAAUACGUAGGGUGCGAGCGUUAAUCGGAAUUACUGGGCAUAAAGCGUGCGCAGGCGGUUGUGUAAGACAGGUGUGAAAUCCCCGGGCUCAACCUGGGAACUGCGCUUGUGACUGCACAGCUAGAGUAUGGCAGAGGGGGGUGGAAUUCCACGUGUAGCAGUGAAAUGCGUAGAGAUGUGGAGGAACACCGAUGGCGAAGGCAGCCCCCUGGGCCAAUACUGACGCUCAUGCACGAAAGCGUGGGGAGCAAACAGGAUUAGAUACCCCCGUAGUCCCUGUCUCUUAUAC
rnacentral:rRNA from 1 species